GAUGAACGCUGGCGGCGUGCCUAAUACAUGUAAGUCGAACGAAACUUCUUUAUCACCGAGUGCUUGCACUCACCGAUAAAGAGUUGAGUGGCGAACGGGUGAGUAACACGUGGGCAACCUGCCCAAAAGAGGGGGAUAACACUUGGAAACAGGUGCUAAUACCGCAUAACCAUAGUUACCGCAUGGUAACUAUGUAAAAGGUGGCUAUACUACCGCUUUUGGAUGGGCCCGCGGCGCAUUAGCUAGUUGGUAGGGUAAAGGCUUACCAAGGCAAUGAUGCGUAGCCGAAUUGAGAGGUUGAUCGGCCACAUUGGGACUGAGACACGGCCCAAACUCCUACGGGAGGCAGCAGUAGGGAAUCUUCCACAAUGGGCGAAAGCCUGAUGGAGCAACGCCGCGUGGGUGAAGAAGGUCUUCGGAUCGUAAAACCCUGUUGUUAGAGAAGAAAGUGCGUGAGAGUAACUGUUCACGUUUCGACGGUAUCUAACCAGAAAGCCACUGCUAACUACGUG
rnacentral:rRNA from 1 species